GACGAACGCUGGCGGCGUGCUUAACACAUGCAAGUCGAACGGAAAGGCCCUGCUUUUGCGGGGUGCUCGAGUGGCGAACGGGUGAGUAACACGUGAGUAACCUGCCCUUGACUUUGGGAUAACUUCAGGAAACUGGGGCUAAUACCGGAUAGGAGCUCCUGCUGCAUGGUGGGGGAUGGAAAGAUUCGGCGGUUGGGGAUGGUCUCGCGGCUUAUCAGCUUGUUGGUGGGGUAGUGGUUUACCAAGGCUUUGACGGGUAGCCGGCCUGGGAGGGUGGCCAGCCACAUUGGGACUGAGAUACGGCCCAGACUCCUACGGGCGGCAGCAGUGGGGAAUAUUGCACAAUGGGCGGAAGCCUGAUGCAGCAACGCCGCGUGCGGGAUAACGGCCUUCGGGUUGUAAACCGCUUUCGCCGGUGACGAAGCGUGAUUGACGGUAAUGGGUAAAGAAGCACCGGCUAACUACGUG
rnacentral:rRNA from 1 species